AGUGAACGCUGGCGGUAGGCCUAACACAUGCAAGUCGAACGGCAGCACAGUAAGAGCUUGCUCUUACGGGUGGCGAGUGGCGGACGGGUGAGGAAUACAUCGGAAUCUACUUUUUCGUGGGGGAUAACGUAGGGAAACUUACGCUAAUACCGCAUACGCCCUACGGGUGAAAGCAGGGGAUCUUCGGACCUUGCGCGAUUGAAUGAGCCGAUGUCGGAUUAGCUAGUUGGCGGGGUAAAGGCCCACCAAGGCGACGAUCCGUAGCUGGUCUGAGAGGAUGAUCAGCCACACUGGAACUGAGACACGGUCCAGACUCCUACGGGAGGCAGCAGUGGGGAAUAUUGGACAAUGGGCGCAAGCCUGAUCCAGCCAUACCGCGUGGGUGAAGAAGGCCUUCGGGUUGUAAAGCCCUUUUGUUGGGAAAGAAAAGCAGCAGGUUAAUACCCCGCUGUUCUGACGGUACCAAAAGAAUAAGCACCGGCUAACUUCGUG
rnacentral:rRNA from 1 species